UUGAAUUGUCCAAGUAAUUGAUUUGCACAAACCUUGAGUUAAUAAUUUGUCACCACUAGCAGUGAGCACCUUUAGUCUAUCUGUAGAAACUAUUGAUAACUUCAAUUUCUUAGCUAAUUAAGAGUCAAUGAAAUUGUGGGUGCUCUUUGUAUCUACCAGAAGGAUCACUUCCACUUAACCGAGAUGUGGGCUGCCAGUCUCAUAGUUUGGGAACCUUGAGUACCCUGCAUUGCAUGUAGGGAAAGGACUGGGGAAGAAGGAAUGACAUCAGACUCAUCUGUCUCCAACUAUUUCGAGCAGUCUUAAAAUUCCUCAAUGGUUGGACUCUUCAAUGUUUCAACAGCAGCAGCGAAAGGAUCGAUCACUAGUUGAUAUAGUUGCGCCUUGUUGCACCAUGGCCUGGUGUAUAUUUAGAAGAACACCAGAAACACAUACCCCGUUUUCUCCUAUCGUCCAUUUCAGAUUGAGAAAAAGAUUUAGUUGGCAAUUUAGAAUUAUUAACAAGUGACCCCCUGUAGCUUGUAUGCUAACAUUAGAGCUAAGAACUUUAUACCCUUAAGAAGUUGAGUGCACAAACCCUGUACCCUUGCCGUGAGAACUUGACAACAUGGUUUUUGAAUAUAUAGACCCUUCAUUCAAUAUGAUGUGCUUCUCAGAGGUCCCUUUCAAAAUGGUUUCGACCUGUCUAGCUACCAAAUAUCCAUCAACAAGAUUUUGAGGUUUAAAGAGCUUAAGUUAUUGACUGACCUCAAGUUGUAAGUUGUUGAUGAAGAUACUCAAGGUAUGUCAUUUAGGAAGGUGUAUUUGGUUUAGGGUGGGUUUGGAUAGGUGAUUGCAUGCGGUGCGGUGCGUUUAGCUUACUUUUUGUCUUAUGCUACAGUAUCGCUACAGUAUCUAAUCUCAUCACCACCGCUUUUUUUACACUAACCAUAGGUAAACGCACCACUCAUCCAAACCCACCCUUAGUAAACUCACA
rnacentral:lncRNA from 1 species